CGUCAGUCGGAUUUGCUGCCUUUUGGGUUAGAGGACAUCUCCAGUGGUCGUGAAAACCGGUUCAUGACAUCGUUCUGCCAAAAUGUUGUGCAGCUUGUUCAAUCGGAUUGCCCGUAUUUCCGGAGGAAUUUCAUUAUGAUGAACAAUAAUGUUUGGUGCCAAUUACAAUUUCUGGGGGAUGGUCUUCGGUCACGUGAAAUACUACAGGAGAAUACUUCGGGUCCUUCGCUUGCGCAUAACUUACUUCUUUGGGAUAUGCAUAAGGGAAAAUUAGUAGAGGCGGACGAGGGAUAUAUGAAGACCGGGAGUUUCUUGGCUAUCCUGAGGGUUUUCAUUGAAAGUUUGAUUUAAAAAUUAAAAAUUCAAUUAAUUGAAAUUUUGAUGGAAAAAGCUACUAUGAGAUUUCUCACAAUGGAUUUUAGUGUGCUUAAUUAUAUGAUUAGUUGA